rnacentral:lncRNA from 1 species
AAGACUACAAGCUUCUAGCCUACGAGUUCUAUUAUUUGGGCCAUGGUUCUUGUGAUGAAUGGUGGUCUAUUUAUAGUAGGAUGGCUAAUAUACCGCCAAAGUGCUAUAGUGGAUCCGUGAUGGCUCACGACAAGAUUCUCCCUAUGCGAUAAGGUUGCACAGUCUUCACGUGAUGCUUGGCCUGACCUUCCUAAGGGCUGAUAGGAAUCUUGCAGUUGCUCAGGCGGCGCAGUAUUUGUGGACAAG